rnacentral:rRNA from 1 species
GAAUUUUAUAUAAAAUUUAUAAUUUAAUUUAAAUUUAAAUAUAUAUAUAAAGUUUUAUAUUUAAUUGGGAGGAUUAUUAAAUUUUAUUAACUUUAAUUGAAAUAAAUAAUAUAAAUUAAUAAGUUAAAGAAUGGUUUAAAAAAUUAAAUAAGAAUAAAUUACCUUAGGGAUAACAGCAUAAUAUUUUUGGAGAGAACAUAUUGAUAAAAAUGUUUGU